AGUGAACGCUGGCGGCGUGCUUAACACAUGCAAGUCGAACGAGAACGGAUUAUAGCUUGCUAUAAUUGUCAGCUAAGUGGCGUACGGGUGAGUAAUGUAUAGGUAAUAUGCCUCUUACUAAGGGAUAACAAUUGGAAACGUUUGCUAAUACCUUAUACUCCUUAUUAACAUAAGUUAAUAAGGGAAAGAUUUAUUGGUAAGAGAUUAGCCUGUAUUGUAUCAGUUAGUUGGUGGGGUAAUGGCUUACCAAGACUAUGACACAUAACUGGUUUGAGAGGAUGAUCAGUCACACUGGAACUGAGACACGGUCCAGACUCCUACGGGAGGCAGCAGUGGGGAAUAUUGCACAAUGGACGAAAGUCUGACGCAGCAACGCCGCGUGGAGGAUGACACAUUUCGGUGCGUAAACUCCUUUUAUAUGAGAAGAUAAUGACGGUAUUAUAUGAAUAAGCACCGGCUAACUCCGUGCCAGCCGCCGCCGUAAUAC
rnacentral:rRNA from 1 species